CAGUAGCCACGGUAAGACAGAGGAUGCAAGCGUUAUCCGGAAUGAUUGGGCGUAAAGGGCGCGUAGGCGGUGCGGAUAGUCAGAUGUGAAAUUCCUGGGCUUAACCUGGGGGCUGCAUUUGAUACGUCCGCGCUUGAGUGUGGAAGAGGGUCGUGGAAUUCCCAGUGUAGAGGUGAAAUACGUAGAUAUUGGGAAGAACACCGGUGGCGAAGGCGGCGACCUGGUCCAUAACUGACGCUGAGGCGCGAAAGCGUGGGGAGCAAACAGGAUUAGAUACCCCCGUAGUCCCUGUCUCUUAUAC
rnacentral:rRNA from 1 species